rnacentral:rRNA from 1 species
GAUGAACGCUAGCGACAGGCUUAACACAUGCAAGUCGAGGGGCAGCAUAAAAGUAGCAAUACUUUGGUGGCGACCGGCGCACGGGUGAGUAACGCGUAUGCAACCUACCUAUCAGAGGGGAAUAACCCGGCGAAAGUCGGACUAAUACCGCAUAAAACAGGGGCACCGCAUGGUGAUAUUUGUUAAAGAAAUUCGCUGAUAGAUGGGCAUGCGUUCCAUUAGGUAGUUGGUGAGGUAACGGCUCACCAAGCCGACGAUGGAUAGGGGAACUGAGAGGUUGGUCCCCCACACUGGUACUGAGACACGGACCAGACUCCUACGGGAGGCAGCAGUGAGGAAUAUUGGUCAAUGGGCGGGAGCCUGAACCAGCCAAGUCGCGUGAAGGAAGAAGGAUCUAUGGUUCGUAAACUUCUUUUGCAGGGGAAUAAAGUGCAGGACGUGUCCUGUUUUGUAUGUACCCUGAGAAUAAGGAUCGGCUAACUCCGUGCCAGCAGCCGCGGUAAAACGU